AGAGUUUGAUCAUGGCUCAGAUUGAACGCUGGCGGCAUGCUUUACACAUGCAAGUCGAGCGGCAGCGCGGGGGCAACCCUGGCGGCGAGCGGCGAACGGGUGAGUAACGCAUCGGAACGUAUCCUGUAGUGGGGAAUAACUCAUCGAAAGGUGAGCUAAUACCGCAUAAGCUCUGAGGAGGAAAGCGGGGGGACCGAAAGGCCUCGCGCUGCAGGAGCGGCCGAUGUCCGAUUAGCUAGUUGGUGAGGUAAAGGCUCACCAAGGCGACGAUCGGUAGCUGGUCUGAGAGGAUGAUCAGCCACACUGGGACUGAGACACGGCCCAGACUCCUACGGGAGGCAGCAGUGGGGAAUAUUGGACAAUGGGCGAAAGCCUGAUCCAGCAAUGCCGCGUGAGUGAUGAAGGCCUUAGGGUUGUAAAGCUCUUUACCCGAGAUGAUAAUGACAGUAUCGGGAGAAUAAGCUCCGGCUAACUCCGUG
rnacentral:rRNA from 1 species